GAACGCUGGCGGCACGCUUAACACAUGCAAGUCGAACGAGAAACCCGAGCUUGCUCGGGUGGACAGUGGCAGACGGCUUAGUAACGCGUGGGUAUCUACCUAGAGGUUUGGAACAACUAUUGGAAACGAUAGCUAAUACCAAAUAUUCCCUAAGGGGGAAAGAUUUAUCGCCUUUAGAUGAGCCCGCGUCGGAUUAGCUUGUUGGUAGGGUAAAGGCCUACCAAGGCAACGAUCCGUAGCUGGUCUGAGAGGAUGAUCAGCA
rnacentral:rRNA from 1 species